rnacentral:rRNA from 1 species
UACGUAGGGGGCAAGCGUUGUCCGGAAUCAUUGGGCGUAAAGAGCGUGUAGGUGGCUCGGUAAGUCCGCUGUAAAAGUCCAGGGCUCAACCCUGGAAAGCCGGUGGAAACUGUCGAGCUAGAGUCCGGAAGAGGCGAGUGGAAUUCCUGGUGUAGCGGUGAAAUGCGCAGAUAUCAGGAGGAGCACCAAUGGCGAAGGCAGCUCGCUGGGACGGUACUGACACUGAGACGCGAAAGCGUGGGGAGCAAACAGG